rnacentral:rRNA from 1 species
UACGUAGGGGGCGAGCGUUGUCCGGAAUCAUUGGGCGUAAAGCGCGUGUAGGCGGCCCGGUAAGUCCGCUGUGAAAGUCCAGGGCUCAACCCUGGGAUGCCGGUGGAUACUGUCGGGCUCGAGUCCGGAAGAGGCGAGUGGGAUUCCUGGUGUAGCGGUGAAAUGCGUAGAUAUCAGGAGGAACGCCGGAGGCGAAAGCGAGUGACUGGCGCGUUCCUGACGCUGAGGUGCGAAAGCUAGGGGAGCAAACAGG